AAGUUUCGCAGUGGCCAUCCUCCUCCCAAAGGCCAUUGCGGAUCGUCCGCGACAUCCUCCUCCCAAAGUCGCAGGGCACCCAAACGACGCCCGCCGGUCCUCCCCCGGCGGGCGUUGUCA
rnacentral:sRNA from 1 species